GAUAACCUCGGGAAACUGGGUAUAAUACCCGAUAGGUCUCGAUUGCUGGAAUGCAUCGAGAUUUAAAGCUCCGGCGCCUAAGGAUGGGUCUGCGGCCUAUCAGGUAGUAGUGGGUGUAGCGUACCUACUAGCCUACGACGGGUACGGGUUGUGAGAGCAAGAGCCCGGAGAUGGAUUCUGAGACACGAAUCCAGGCCCUACGGGGUGCAGCAGGCGCGAAAACUUUACAAUGCUGGCAACAGCGAUAAGGGAACCUCGAGUGCCAGGUUACAAAUCUGGCUGUCGAGAUGCCUAAAAAGCAUUUCAUAGCAAGGGCCGGGCAAGACCGGUGCCAGCCGCCGCGGUAACACCGGCGGCUCGAGUGGUAACCGUUAUUAUUGGGUCUAAAGGGUCUGUAGCCGGCCGGAUAAGUCUCUUGAGAAAUCUGGCAGCUUAACUGUCAGGCUUUCAGGAGAUACUGUCUGGCUCGAGGCCGGGAGAGGUGAGAGGUACUUCAGGGGUAGGGGUGAAAUCUUGUAAUCCUUGAAGGACCACCAGUGGCGAAGGCGUCUCACCAGAACGGACCUGACGGCAAGGGACGAAAGCUAGGGGCACGAACCGGAUUAGAUACCCGGGUAGUCCUAGCCGUAAACGAUACUCGCUAGGUGUCGGCCACGGUGCGACCGUUGUCGGUGCCGUCGGGAAGCCGUGAAGCGAGCCACCUGGGAAGUACGGCCGCAAGGCUGAAACUUAAAGGAAUUGGCGGGGGAGCACCACAACGGGUGGAGCUUGCGGUUUAAUUGGAUUCAACGCCGGAAAUCUUACCGGGACCGACAGCAAUAUGAAGGCCAGGCUGAAGACUUUGCCGGAUUAGCUGAGAGGUGGUGCAU
rnacentral:rRNA from 1 species